rnacentral:rRNA from 1 species
GACGAACGCUGGCGGCGUGCCUAACACAUGCAAGUCGAACGGAGUUAAGACUUCGGUUUUAACUUAGUGGCGAACGGAUGAGUAACGCGUGAGAAACCUACCUUUCAGUGGGGGACAACAGUUGGAAACGACUGCUAAUACCGCAUAAUGUAUUUUGACCGCAUGAUUGAAAUACCAAAGUUUUAUGUGCUGAAAGAUGGUCUCGCGUCUGAUUAGCUAGUUGGUGAGGUAACGGCUCACCAAGGCGACGAUCAGUAGCCGGUCUGAGAGGAUGAACGGCCACAUUGGGACUGAGAUACGGCCCAGACUCCUACGGGAGGCAGCAGUGGGGAAUAUUGGGCAAUGGGGGAAACCCUGACCCAGCAACGCCGCGUGAAGGAAGAAGGCCUUCGGGUUGUAAACUUCUUUUACCAGGGACGAAGAACGUGACGGUACCUGGAGAAAAAGCAACGGCUAACUACGUGCCAGCCGCCGCAGUAAGAC